GAGGGUAUGACUCAAGGGCAGAGUGAAUGCUUAGCAUGCAUGGGAUCCUGGGUUUAAUGCCUGGUACCUCCU
rnacentral:tRNA from 1 species